UUCGGUGGGGNNUAGUGGCGAACGGGUGAGUAACACGUGGGCAAUCUGCCCUGCACUCUGGGACAAGCCCUGGAAACGGGGUCUAAUACCGGAUAACACUUCGGGCCUCAUGGUCUGUGGUUAAAAGCUCCGGCGGUGCAGGAUGAGCCCGCGGCCUAUCAGCUUGUUGGUGAGGUAAUGGCUCACCAAGGCGACGACGGGUAGCCGGCCUGAGAGGGCGACCGGCCACACUGGGACUGAGACACGGCCCAGACUCCUACGGGAGGCAGCAGUGGGGAAUAUUGCACAAUGGGCGAAAGCCUGAUGCAGCGACGCCGCGUGAGGGAUGACGGCCUUCGGGUUGUAAACCUCUUUCAGCAGGGAAGAAGCGAAAGUGACGGUACCUGCAGAAGAAGCGCCGGCUAACUACGUGCCAGCAGCCGCGGUAAUACGUAGGGCGCAAGCGUUGUCCGGAAUUAUUGGGCGUAAAGAGCUCGUAGGCGGCUUGUCACGUCGGGUGUGAAAGCCCGGGGCUUAACCCCGGGUCUGCAUUCGAUACGGGCUAGCUAGAGUGUGGUAGGGGAGAUCG
rnacentral:rRNA from 1 species